UACGUAGGGGGCAAGCGUUGUCCGGAUUUAUUGGGCGUAAAGAGCUCGUAGGCGGUCGUGUAAGUCGGGUGUGAAAUUUCGGAGCUUAACUCCGAAACUGCAUUCGAUACUGCCGUGCUUGAGGACUGGAGAGGAGACUGGAAUUUACGGUGUAGCGGUGAAAUGCGUAGAUAUCGAGAUGGAACGACCUGGCGGCGAAAGGCGGGGUUGCU
rnacentral:rRNA from 1 species